UCAUCAGGGUGGGAUGAAGGCACUAAAUGUGGCUGGGAAUCAUCGAGAAUGAGGCAACGAUCCACUCAAUUGUGGAGCUGCAUAUGAGCAAGUGGUACUCAUACUGAGGUCAGUGGGCUGAGGCUCUUUGCUUGGUUGCUAGGCAACAAGGGACCUGCUAUUCUGUGGCCCAUCGAUAUCAAUAUGAAGCAUUAACCAAACCACCCUCCUGGUUCCACUUAUAUGAUGGCUGCAUGGAAAUGCUGGGUAACAGAAGAGGAUUAUGUAAUGUGGAAAAAGUGAAAGUUGGCACUGCACAGCAAGGCUUCAUCUUUGAAGCAGGAGUGAUUCAAUAGGAAAGAUCAUCUGCUGGUUGUGGUUCCUGCUUAAAUUAAAGAUGCUGGAGGAAGCAUGAGAAGUGGACCCAUGCCAAGUCUCUGUACCACAAGAUGAUUGGAACACCUGGAGUAUAAGUGGAGUAAAGAGUACAGAAGAAAUGCCUCUGGCGGAAAAUUUGAAGCAGUUUCUGUGCAAGACUGGAGCUCACACAUGAAGCCAACUCUGAGGAAGUACAAAGUGUUGUCCCCAAUCCUCGUAAUAUCCAGCUUCUUUGGCAGCUUGCUCUGCCCAAAAGAAGAUAGGAGACAGACAGACAGACAAACACACAGGCAUACACACAGAUGCGCAGAUGGACAGACAAUAAACUUUUCCUGGGGAUGUGAAGCUCCUCAGGUCCCUUCAGACCUCCAAGCCUUUGCAUAUGCU
rnacentral:lncRNA from 1 species